CAUGCCCUGGGAGUAGCCGAUGGCCGGGUUGUACACGGCGUAGUUCAGCAGGAUCCUCCUGGCGACACGGUGCAGAGAGCAGGGCGGUUGGCGGAGAGUGGCCACAACAUAGCCCACCCUUGCUGUCUGCUUGGUGGCAUGUCACCCGGGCCAGCACCAGCAGAACCCCAGGCUGGAGACCCUGGGCUGCCAGGAUGCCCCUCCUUCGCCUCGAUCUCAGGGGAAGGAGGGCAGCUCUGGGGACUGUCUCUGAAGCCUUGGGAAAUUGAGUGGCCUGCAAUUAACCAGUCACCAUGCCCAGACCUCUGGAGCAGAGGGGAAGGAGGAAUGCAGCAGCAGAAUGUCAAAGAUGCCAACCCCAGGCUCAGUGUGGCUUUAUCACUGGGAGGACCACCCACUGGGAGACAGAGGCUCAUCCAUGGUUGCUGUGAGCCAAGCAAGGCCAGUCUUGGUGGAGGCCCGGAGGAUGGGGGCCUUUGCUGGCAGCCUUGGGCGGGACCUACAGGGCUUCCCUGGGACGCUGGGGCCAUAAGAGGCCAAUCGACAUUGCUGAAGUAGCUAACGAUCCUCUACUUCCGGGCAUUGUGAAGGAAGGAAGAAAGACACCUGACCCCUAACCCCCGCAGAUGCUGCUGCUGCUUGCCCACUUCCCAGAGGGUCAGCUGAGGCCCGAGGGAACUGGUUGCUCCGAUCUGUGCGAACCACAUCCUUGUCCACGGUGAACUGCACAUUGCGCCAGAAGGCUCUGUGCUCUUCGGGAGUCAUGGAGAGCCUGGCCCGGAGCAGAGCACCCGCUGGGGUCAGCGAGCUGUGCACACUGCAGCAGAGCCCCUGCUCCCCAGAAGGGGCCUGGGGUGCUGCUGCCGCUGCAAACCCUCCAGCUCCCCGCUGACUUGGAGGACAUUUCCCUCCGCGGUUCGGGGGCGGGCUGGCCGGGCGGCGGUCACCUUUUCUGCUGGAUCUCCGCGUACUCCUUCCGCUUCUGCACCCGCAUGGCCUCCCUCUCCUCCGACGUGGACUCGUGGCUGUAAUAACGCAG